UUCAGGGCCGAGCACGGAGGACGGGGUGGUUCAGGCUCAAGAAAGCCAUGAACUUCCUGAAGGGUUUCGGCAAAGUAUAUUUAAAGGCCAGGUAAGGGACGGGGUGGGGGGGCGCAGGGUAGGUGGUCAGCUCCCGCACAAUCCUCUGAUUAGCUGGUGUUGAGGCAGUGAGGCGGUCAACACUGUCAACCCCCAGGCUACAGAAGAACUGGUCGCGGCGAGGCUGGAAAACCCACCGGCUGCUCAGGUAGACGGGACUUGUCUGAAGAGGAAGCGUGAGACCAGCAGAAGUCCCCGCAGGAGAGUGCAAUUACCGUUUGUGCAUCGCACGGGAGCAGCCCCACAGGAUAUGAGUAUUCUCAGCUGCCGUGGUGAGGACUCCCUGGGAAAUUCCCGAUACAG